UACGGAGGGUGCGAGCGUUGUCCGGAAUUACUGGGCGUAAAGCGUGCGCAGGCGGUUUUGUAAGCCAGAUGUGAAAUCCCCGGGCUCAACCUGGGAAUGGCAUUUGGGACUGCAAGGCUUGAGUGCGGCAGAGGAGACUGGAAUUCAUGGUGUAGCAGUGAAAUGCGUAGAGAUCAUGAGGAAGACCAGUGGCGAAGGCGGGUCUCUGGACAGUUCCUGACACUGAGGCACGAAGGCCAGGGGAGCAAACAGG
rnacentral:rRNA from 1 species